AGAGCUUUGUCGCCGAGCAGCUGCUCUGUCUGCCUGGGCAGAGGGCAUGCAGUUAACUGGGGCCUGUGCCCGUCUGGCAGCAGGAGCAGGCCGACUUGGACCUGCCUCAGAAUCCCUGCUGGCCAUGCCUUUGGGUGCCAGAUGCAGUGCACAGAUAGCCAGCCCUCUCCACGGUAGGGGUUGGAGACUCUCCCAGGCCUCGGGCUGCCACUGUGGCCUGUCCACACUCAGACUUGGGCUGGGUCAGAGUCCUGAGGCCCACGUGCACCUCCACACUGCAUUCUCACCUCAGGCACAAUAGCCACUGACCCUGGCCCCCCACCAAGAACGAAUCCAUAGAGCCAGAAAGGUUUAGGUUUGGCAGGUCCCGGCCUCAGGGCCACCAUGUACAGUUGUGCAGGUUUCUAUAGGGAGGAGGUGCUGUGUUGUCUGGACCCUGAUCCCAACAGGCUCUCAUGUCCCCUGUGUGUCCCUUCCAGCUGGGCAGCCAGGAAUAUUUUUGAACAGUGCCAAGUAUUUUGGCGACAUGGUGAGAAAUUCCAGCUUCCUUUGGUUUGGCAGCACGUCGGCCCCAACUGAGCACCUGCUCUCUGUAAGGCCAGCUGUGGAUUUUGCACAGCCUGCGACUAAAUGAAAGCACUGAGCUCAACAGGUAAGGAUUUGAUGAUGGGGACAGCAGGGCAAUAAGCUAAGUGCUGGACCCCAAGCUGCCCCUGUAGACAGCUGGUGCCUGGUGCUGGGCAGGGAGGGCCAGGCUGCAUCUGCUGUCUCUGGUCUCAUGCUCAGGCAGCUCUGGCAUCUGCUAAUCCAAGAGCCACCCUUUCCUGGGGGGCAGUGCACAUCCAGGUUUCCCCAAGGCGGUCCCCACCCAAGAUAGCUCUCAGCUCCCUGUGAAUGGUGUGCGACUGGACAAUGACCCGAAGGCCCUGCCAUGUCUGAGUGCACCUGCUCUCUCUCUUCUCUAGGCCGGGACUCCCAGAGUGGCCACUGCACUCGCCCAGCUGCCCAGAGACCGCAGGCUCCUCACCCCAUCCCGGGCCUCACCCAGGGAGACGGCAGGAGCCAUCCUCAUCCCAGGGUCCCCAGACCACUUUCUCCAUGCCAAGGGGUAGCCUUACUUGCGGGGUGCAGGGCACUCUCAGGCCUGCCCUGUAUGGAGGCUGAUCCGCUGUUGGAUCCUCCCUCUCAGAAGCUGCCAAUUGAGGAGGACAUUCACGUUAACUGUACAAGAAUAGUAAGAACAGCUGGACUGCACUGAGGACCUGCUAUGUGCUAGGCACGUGCUGAGUAAUCUCACAUGUGUUUCUCCUGUAAGUGUCAUGAGAACAAUGGCAUGGACUGUAUGAUCCCCAUUCUACAGACGAAGAGGCUGAGGCUCAGAGAGGUCAAAUAAACUGCCCAAGGUCACAUGUCCGGUUAGUGGC
rnacentral:lncRNA from 12 species